ensembl:lncRNA
GGGUUGGCCCUCUGCCUUGUGCCCCAUGUAUCCUGGGAUAGGCUCCAGGCUCCCACAUGACCCUGUGUAGGAAAAACGGUACGGAAAACGGAUGGGUUGAUAAAGCAGGGCCUUUUUUUGAGGGCGAUUUUAAGAGGUAGCAAAGCAGCGAUUCAGCACAGACACGGAUGGAAAUAACGAGAAGCAAAGCCAUCACGACUGAACAGCGCUGUUAAAAAGCUGUUAAUGUGAUAAAGAGAAAAGCACGAGUGUGGAGGAAAAGGAAGGCGAUAAAACCGAAGAAGAGGAAGGAGAGUUGUCUCGGAAGGCCGUGGUCUUUCCUCCUGGAUCAGUCUUGCGAAGGAAAAGAAUAGCGUCGUGUCGUCUCGGAAGAACAGAUCGAGUUAACAAGCCCUGUUUUUCCUUCGCUCUCUCAAUACGUCGCUUCUCGCCGAACACGCUGGCCGCUUUCAUCUCCGAGCCGGUCUAAAGAUCUCACCUGUCAAAUCUCAGCCGCGAUGAAGUGACAAGCCGCUCAAACCCCCACCAGAGCUGCCCAGAUCUUUCUCAGCUGCAGGACAAUCCUCGGACACGUUUCCGUCCGAGCGACCUGCCGGUUCCGUGCAAAACUGUCACACGAAGCGCGUUUUCAUCCGCUGCUGUUUCGACCGAUAUUAGAAUAUUCCGAGGAUUUACAAGAUGGCAUAAUGUUUUAUCCAUUUAUAGUUACGUUUAAUGGCAUGGAACGUCGCUGAAACAAGUUCACGUAAGUUACAGCAGCUAUAAACAGUCACCCUCUCACCAUCCUCUCUUUAUUCUCUCUCUCUCUCGCUCGCUCUCUCGAGGUUAAUAAAGCACACAGAAAAAGAAACAAAGUGUAAACACCUCUGUCCUGAAGAUGUGGGAAAAGUUACAGCUUUACUGACACUGGAGACUCCUUCCAUACAUGUUAAGUGUAUUCAUGUGCUUGAGUGAUGCUGCAGGCUGGGAGUGUUGAAUAGAGGGUUGUCAAUCAAGCAUGUCUAUUAGAAUAUUAGGCCACACCCACAUGUGCAGUACUGAGAUUGGUUAUUAGUGAGUUCAGCACUGGCUGGAGAGUUUUAUUACAGCCCUGUCUUGUUUUGCUGAAUGUUUCAUUCUUGAUAUAAAACAAAAAUAACAUUCAAACGCAUCAUUCCUAUCAUAUUAGAAUCAUCAUGUUUAUCUCUUGUCUCUCUUUUGUGCUGGAAUUUCUUAAUAUACAGUGUGUGUGUGUGUGUGUGUGCGUGUGUGUGUGUGUGUGUGUGUGUGUGUGUGUGUGUG